rnacentral:lncRNA from 1 species
CCGUAGCACGCCUUCCAGAAGAAGAAGACCGCCCCCGUCCACGAGCACGACCACGAGGAGGCUGAGGCCGGGAGCGGGCCAGAGGUCGCGGCCUCGAAGGAGUUCAUGGAGGUGUACGAGAGGGAGCUCAAGAAGUUCUUCAGCAAUUUCAUGAGUGCUAUGUUGCAGGCUGAGGUCGGAGGAGUGAGAAUCGAGAACCGAAGCGAGGAGGAGAAGGAGGGCUUCAACGGACGUCCGAAUGCGGUGGCGUCUCCUUGAAGGGCCUCGGAGACGGAGAUCUUCCCAGCGACCCCCUGGUUACCCUCCUUCGCUGGCUGACCUCGCUGCCCUCUCCUUCACUCCUUCCACGUCGCGGGUCGUCCCAGUGGCUCCUUCUUUCCCUCCGUCGCUGGCUGACCUCGCUGUCCACUUCUUCACUUACUUCGACGCCGCACCUUGUCUCCGUGGAUCACUGUUCGCUCCUUCACCCCCUUCUGCGCCGCUGUCCGUCCCAGUGGCUUCUCUCCCUCCUUCGCUGGCUGACCUCGCUGCCCUCUCCUUCACUCCUUCCACGUCGCUGUCCUUCCCAAUGGCUCUGAUUUCUCUCCUUCGUGGGUUGACUUCAGUGAUCUAUCCUUUCGCUCCUUCUGCUUCCGAUUUCUUCCUUCUAUUCUCGACGGCGGUGAUCAUCUCAACCGCUCCUUCGAAUCUUUCACCUUCCUCAGCUCCAGAUUUCUUGCCGAUUUUCUUCCCGACGCUGAGGAUCGUCUCGGCGACCAUCUUUCUUCCCGAUUUUUUUUUUCUGUCAGAUUUCUUUCCCUGGUUUCGAUCGUCGAUCCUUUUCUUCGCCAUUCUAGUGGCUUAAUCGGUAUUAUUUGUGGUGUGUUCGCGUAUAUAUACAUAUAUUUUCUCAGAACAUUGUGAGUCCUGAAGGUUCAUUUUUUCAUGAGAUUCUAUUGGUCAUUUCAGUUAUUGAUUUUUCUGUGUCAUUUUCUUUCAUAUCUUUGUCAUUCUAAAACUAAUUUCAAUCUUCCAUCCCUUGUUAAUUGCUAAGCGAUCAGCUGUUCCUGUUCUCCUCCCGCUAGAUUCAUGACAAAUUCAUUAUUUAUUUCGCAAACAUGUACAUAAAGAAAGUGUCCGAUGCCUUUGUGUAUAAAAAUGUUUUAUCAAUAACAUUCAUUAUAGGAAAACUAAAACUUGUCAAAAUCUGUCUAUAAAAAUGUUAAAAACAACGUUCCUAUAUAUCAUAGCGAUCUUCUAUAUCACGUGAUGACCCACUUCCAUGAACAAUGUUACCAAGUUAAAGCACGAGGUUUUGUGUUUUAGUGAUUUGGUAACACUGGUUAUUUUUCCUCCUCCCUUCAGUGUACUGAUGUUUGUAUUUUGUUUGUCUUAUCACUGCCUUUUGUAAACAAGAAUCUUUAUAUAUAUAUUUAUUUAGCUAGAAUAGAUAUAGUCUUAAGCUCACUGUAGAAGUAUAAGAUGUAUAACAUGAAAUGUAGAUUUAAAGUGCAUUUACAGUCGACGAAGAGUACUGGUACAGAUCUCUCUCUUUCUGAAAACUCAAGUUCUGUGUGGUUUUGUAACUCACAAACUUUAUGACAGAAAGACGAAACAAAGCACGAUAUUUAGGGAUUUGGGAAGCUUAUUUCAGCCCUAGAAUAAAUUUGCAAAUGUGC